rnacentral:rRNA from 1 species
CCCUAGGGGGGCAGCAGUGAGGAAUAUUGGUCAAUGGCCGGAAGGCUGAACCAGCCAAGCCGCGUGAGGGAGGAAGGCGCAGAGCGUCGCAGACCUCUUUUGCCGGGGGACAAAAGGCCGGACGGGUCCGGUUCUGAGGGUACCCGGAGAAAAAGCAUCGGCUAACUCCGUGCCAGCAGCCGCGGUAAUACGGAGGAUGCGAGCGUUAUCCGGAUUCAUUGGGUUUAAAGGGCGCGCAGGCGGGCCUUUAAGCCGGCGGUGAAAUCGCGGGGCUCAACCCCCCCCAGCCGUCGGAACUGGGGGCC